AUACGUAGGGUGCGAGCGCUGUCCGGAAUUACUGGGCGUAAAGAGCUCGUAGGUGGUUUGUCGCGUCGUCUGUGAAAUUCCGGGGCUUAACUCCGGGCGUGCAGGCGAUACGGGCAUAACUUGAGUACUGUAGGGGAGACUGGAAUUCCUGGUGUAGCGGUGAAAUGCGCAGAUAUCAGGAGGAACACCGGUGGCGAAGGCGGGUCUCUGGGCAGUAACUGACGCUGAGGAGCGAAAGCAUGGGUAGCGAACAGGAUUAGAUACCCUGGUAGUCCAUGCCGUAAACGGUGGGCGCUAGGUGUAGGGGUCUUCCACGACUUCUGUGCCGUAGCUAACGCAUUAAGCGCCCCGCCUGGGGAGUACGGCCGCAAGGCUAAAACUCAAAGGAAUUGACGGGG
rnacentral:rRNA from 1 species